rnacentral:rRNA from 1 species
GAUGAACGCUGGCGGCGUGCCUAAUACAUGCAAGUCGAGCGAACAGACGAGGAGCUUGCUCCUCUGACGUUAGCGGCGGACGGGUGAGUAACACGUGGAUAACCUACCUAUAAGACUGGGAUAACUUCGGGAAACCGGAGCUAAUACCGGAUAAUAUAUUGAACCGCAUGGUUCAAUAGUGAAAGACGGUUUUGCUGUCACUUAUCGAUGGAUCCGCGCCGCAUUAGCUAGUUGGUAAGGUAACGGCUUACCAAGGCAACGAUGCGUAGCCGACCUGAGAGGGUGAUAGGCCACACUGGAACUGAGACACGGUCCAGACUCCUACGGGAGGCAGCAGUAGGGAAUCUUCCGCAAUGGGCGAAAGCUUGACGGAGCAACGCCGCGUGAGUGAUGAAGGUCUUCGGAUCGUAAAACUCUGUUAUUAGGGAAGAACAAAUGUGUAAGUAACUAUGCACGUCUUGACGGUACCUAAUCAGAAAGCCACGGCUAACUACGUG